UACGGAGGGUGCAAGCGUUAUCCGGAUUCACUGGGUUUAAAGGGUGCGCAGGCGGAUAUGUAAGUCAGUGGUGAAAAUCUCUAGGCUUAACCUGGAAAUUGCCGUUGAUACUAUAUAUCUUGAAUGUUGUGGAGGUAAGCAGAAUAUGUCAUGUAGCGGUGAAAUGCUUAGAUAUGACAUAGAAUACCUAUUGCGAAGGCAGCUUACUACGCAGAUAUUGACGCUCAUGCACGAAAGCGUGGGGAUCAAACAGG
rnacentral:rRNA from 1 species